CGACCUACGGGAGGCAGCAGUGAGGAAUAUUGGUCAAUGGGCGGGAGCCUGAACCAGCCAAGUCGCGUGAGGGAUGACGGCCCUAUGGGUUGUAAACCUCUUUUGUCAGGGAGCAACGCCGGCUACGUGUAGCCGGACUGAGAGUACCUGAAGAAAAAGCAUCGGCUAACUCCGUGCCAGCAGCCGCGGUAAUACGGAGGAUGCGAGCGUUAUCCGGAUUUAUUGGGUUUAAAGGGUGCGUAGGCGGAAUGCCAAGUCAGCGGUAAAAUCGCGGGGCUCAACCUCGCUCCGCCGUUGAAACUGGC
rnacentral:rRNA from 1 species